UACAGAGGUCCCAAGCGUUGUUCGGAUUCACUGGGCGUAAAGGGUGCGUAGGUGGCGCCGUAAGUGGGGUGUGAAAUUUCGGAGCUUAACUCCGAAACUGCAUUCGAUACUGCCGUGCUUGAGGACUGGAGAGGAGACUGGAAUUUACGGUGUAGCGGUGAAAUGCGUAGAUAUCGUAAGGAAGACCAGUGGCGAAGGCGGGUCUCUGGACAGUUCCUGACGCUGAGGCACGAAGGUCAGGGGAGCAAACGGG
rnacentral:rRNA from 1 species